rnacentral:rRNA from 1 species
AGAAGCAAUCUCUGUGGCCACUCAUGCCCAAAUUCCCUGGAACGGGAUGUCGGAGAGGGUGAGAGCCCCGUCGGCAUGGUGUUGGUCGCUCCACGAGAUGCUUUCGCAGAGUCGGGUUGUUUGGGAAUGCAGCCCUAAUUUGGUGGUAAGUCCCAUCUAAGACUAAAUACUGGCGAGAGACCGAUAGCGAACAAGUACCGUGAGGGAAAGAUGAAAAGAACUUUGAAAAGAGAGUUAAAUAGUGCUUGAAAUUGUUGAGGGGGAAGCCAUUGGCGGCUGUGGGUGCACCCGGGCUCAAAGUAUCCCACCGGAUACCUGAAAGUGCCGGGAGCUGGUCAGCAUGGGCUGUGCCUGCGGGAUAAACCUUUCUGUGUCGAAAGUCUAUGCCGUGGGGGCGGCCGAGGAACGAACAGCGCUCUGCCUCCGAGCUGC